GUUCUGACUUGGUGUACAGGGAGAACACUGUAAGAACGGCCCAUGUUCUGAAUUCUGUCGCUGUCAGCCAUCUUAGCUAUGUUUUUUUUAAAGGCAGUAAAUGAGGCUGAACUAAUUGUUUUGCCCCCAGACAAGACUCUGCUGAUAGCCAGGUGUAGAGGUGCGUCAAUACAUGUGACAGAAUGCAGCUGCCACAUACGAAGCAUCGGGGAGUACUGGCGUUCCGGUUGGAAUGGUGGCAGCGGCUCUGGGUCGCCUAGCCAGCUCAUCAGGCUUUCACGCCCUAGCUGGCUCGAGAGGUUUUCCGGCUUGGUGGCUUCCCAUCCCAUGUCACACUCCACUGGAUCAUCGGGCUCCCCUUCUACUGCGGGAUCAGCAGUCGUCUUGCCUCAGCCGGAUCGCCAGGCUCUCGCGCUCCUACCGGUUUAUUGGGUUUUCAAGCCCCAACCGACUUGCCCAACACCCAUGUCUCGGCCGGUUCGCCUAGGUGGGACGCUGGGUGGAGUCCCAAGAGGGAGGGGUACUGUCACGUCUGCUCCCGCUCUUCCCUUCCCCUGACGCUUGAGGGCGCCAGAUUACCCUGUAUCCUCACUCCUGCCAUCCAUCACGCACACCAGCGUUAUCUGACUCUCCUGGACUCACUUAUUUCCUCCCCUAUAUUUGUCAGUUCCCCAGCUCUGUUCCCCGCUGCUGCAUUGAUUGUCUUUUGUCUUAGUUUCUGUUUGCUGACGCUGUGCUUGUCUUGUUAUAUGUCCGUUAUUUGUUAAAUGUUACUCCCCGUA